GAUGAACGCUGGCGGCGUGCCUAAUACAUGCAAGUCGAGCGAACGGACGAGAAGCUUGCUUCUCUGAUGUUAGCGGCGGACGGGUGAGUAACACGUGGAUAACCUACCUAUAAGACUGGGAUAACUUCGGGAAACCGGAGCUAAUACCGGAUGAUAUUUUGAACCGCAUGGUUCAAAAGUGAAAGACGGUCUUGCUGUCACUUAUAGAUGGAUCCGCGCUGCAUUAGCUAGUUGGUAAGGUAACGGCUUACCAAGGCAACGAUGCAUAGCCGACCUGAGAGGUGGAUCGGCCCCCCUGGAACUGAGACCCGGUCCAGCACCCCACGGGGGGCAGCAGGAGGGAAUCUUCCGCAAUGGGCGAAAGCCUGACGGAGCAACGCCGCGGGAGUGAAGAAGGUCUUCGGAUCGUAAAACUCUUUUAUUAGGGAAGAACAUAUGUGUAAGUAACUGUGCACCCCUUGGCGGUACCUAAUCAGAAAGCCCCGGCCAACUACGU
rnacentral:rRNA from 1 species